UCAAAUGAAUUGACGGGGGCCCGCACAAGCGGUGGAGCAUGUGGUUUAAUUCGAUGCAACGCGAAGAACCUUACCUGGUCUUGACAUCCACAGAACUUUCCAGAGAUGGAUUGGUGCCUUCGGGAACUGUGAGACAGGUGCUGCAUGGCUGUCGUCAGCUCGUGUUGUGAAAUGUUGGGUUAAGUCCCGCAACGAGCGCAACCCUUAUCCUUUGUUGCCAGCGGUCCGGCCGGGAACUCAAAGGAGACUGCCAGU
rnacentral:rRNA from 1 species